GUGUGUAUCUCUGUGUCAGUGUGUAUCUGUGUAUAUGUAUCUGACACACAUACAGGCACAUAGUGGCACACAGAUGCACAUUGACACACAGAUACACAC